AUUGAACGCUGGCGGCAUGCCUAACACAUGCAAGUCGAACGAGACCUUCGGGUCUAGUGGCGCACGGGUGCGUAACACGUGGGAAUUUGCCUCGGGGUAUGGAAUAACUCAGGGAAACUUGAGCUAAUACCGUAUGAUGUCUUCGGACCAAAGAUUUAUCGCCCUGAGAUAAGCCCGCGUAGGAUUAGCUAGUUGGUGAGGUAAGAGCUCACCAAGGCGACGAUCCUUAGCUGGUCUGAGAGGAUGAUCAGCCACACUGGGACUGAGACACGGCCCAGACUCCUACGGGAGGCAGCAGUGGGGAAUAUUGGACAAUGGGCGAAAGCCUGAUCCAGCAAUGCCGCGUGAGUGAUGAAGGCCUUCGGUU
rnacentral:rRNA from 1 species